GACGAACGCUGGCGGCGUGCCUAAUACAUGCAAGUCGAACGCAGUUGGGACGGGUGAGUAACACGUGGGUAACCUCCCAUCAGAGGGGAUAACACUUGGAAACAGGUGCUAAACCGAUACUGAUGGAUGGACCCGAGGUGCAUUAGCGAGUUGGUGAGGUAACGGCUCACAAAGUCCACGAUGCAUAGCCGACCUGAGAGGAUGAUCAGCCACAUUGGGACUGAGACACGGCCCAGACUCCUACGGGAGGCAGCAGUGGGGAAUCUGCCGCAAUGGACGAAAGUCUGACCGAGCAACGCCGCGUGAGUGAAGAAGGUUUUCGGAUCGUAAAGCUCUGUUGUUAGAGAAGCGGUAUCUAACGAAGAAGCCACGGCUAACUACGUGCCAGCAGCCGCGGUAAUUC
rnacentral:rRNA from 1 species